UAAUGGAUUUUUUGGAUGCUUAUUACAAAAAAAAGGACCUUAUGAAGCAGUGUUUUGGGUCUUACUCUCUCUUGUCAUUUGUCAUUUGUCCAUCUUAUAUCAGUUUUUACUUCACGAAUAACCUCAAAUGGUUUCUUUUUUGCAGUUUGUUAGAAAAUGCAUAUGUUCUUAUGGCAGAGGUAUUGAAGAAAAUGCAUAUAUUCUGUAGGCAUUAAGCUCCCUUGUUGCUUCACUACUUGAGAAAGAAAAGGAUCUUCAACUUCUCUCUAACUGGUCCAAUUCCUCCUGCUUUGGGUAAUUUGACCGUGCUCAAAAUUUUGUAUUUUUUUAUAAAUCAUAUUUCAGGUACAAUUCCUACAGAAUUAGGGAAUCUCAAGAAUUUGAUUGAGUUGACGUUGCAACGAAACAAUCUGACUGGUCUGAUUCCUCAUGCUUCGAGUAAUUUGAGAAACCUUACAUUGUUGUUGGUCCGAUUCCUCCAGUUAUUCUGCUUUUGAAGAAGUUCUCCCACAUGCUCCAACAUUGAUGACUGAUGUGUUUGGCAAUUAUGUUAUUCAAAAGUUUUUUGAGCAUGGAAGCCCUGAGCAGAGAAAAGAACUAGCAAAUCAGCUUGCUGGCUGCAUUCAACCUUUGAGCCUUUAGAUGUAUGGGUGCCGGGUAAUUCAAAAGGAUGAUGGAAUAUACGAAGCUGUUGCAGGAAGCGACUUUGUCAUUACUAGAGUUGCAUUUCGAGACAACUCUUCAAAUGCCUACAUAAAUGACUGUGGAAGUAAUUUUACAGAGGUCACUAAGAAAUUGAAAGGAAAAGGAGUGGACUUGGACAACAAUCGGUUUUUGAUUCUUCAGGUGGGUGAUGGGCUGAUGGCUGAAAAAGGCCUAUUUACUUGUUAAAAAAUAUCAUACUGUCAAAAUAUAUCUUCCCUUUCAAUUCUUUAUCAUUGAAAUUUCAAGGUAAAGUCGAGCAAAUUUCUCUA